rnacentral:rRNA from 1 species
GACGAACGCUGGCGGCGUGCUUAACACAUGCAAGUCGAGCGGUAAGGCCCUUUCGGGGGUACACGAGCGGCGAACGGGUGAGUAACACGUGGGUGACCUGCCCUUAGCUCUGGGAUAAGCCUGGGAAACUGGGUCUAAUACCGGAUAUGACUCCAUGACGCAUGUUGUGGGGUGGAAAGCCUUGUGCGGCUAGGGAUGGGCCCGCGGCCUAUCAGCUUGUUGGUGGGGUGAUGGCCACCAAGGCGACGACGGGUAGCCGGCCUGAGAGGGCGACCGGCCACACUGGGACUGAGACACGGCCCAGACUCCUACGGGAGGCAGCAGGUGGGGAAUCUUGCGCAAUGGGCGAAAGCCUGACGCAGCGACGCCGCGUGAGGGAUGACGCCU